rnacentral:misc_RNA from 1 species
CGGUUCGAGUCCGCUUACCUCCACUGAAAACUAUCCUGAUAACCAAAUUCUUGGAGAAAAGUUUGUAGAUGUGACUUGGAAUUGUCUACAUGAAAAGAACCCAGCUUCUUAUCAUCUCUCUAUAGUUGAUAAUAUGCUGGGCUCACAUGGAUUUACUCCAUGGGAAUUCAGUA